GAUAUUUGAAAGCACGUCAACGAACGGAAAUGUUGCUUGAUAUGCAUAGUACAUAGUCAAAAAAAAUGUCAGCAAUCAAGGUGUUUAAAUAAUCAAAGUGUAUUUAGUUGCUUACAGAAAUCCCCUUAAAGCAGCGACAAUGAUUUUAAGCUUGUGUGCGCAGAUGGUAUACAAAUUUGCAUCGAUGUGUUUAUCAAAGUUCCUUUACUAAGGGAACUAUAAGCCAUCCCUCUCAAUCACUUACAUAUUAUUUGUAGAAAAAUAGCAUUGUUUGUCCAAAGUAUAUCAGGUUUAUCAUGGUGCCUUUAUUGACCAAGUUUGUUCGGCGCUCUUACUCAAAUCAAUUGAGCGAAUUCCAGAUGGCUUUACUGGCGCGUGGAUUGCCAAGGAAGGAACCCAUUAUUGGAGCUCAGGACAUAAUAGUCGUCGCGUCCGGAAAGGAAGGUGUAGACAAAAGCACCAUCGCGAGUGGGCUUGGCUGAAUUAUUCUAAGGCAUCUAACCACAGAAAGAAAAUUAAUCCUAAAAAAAACAAUUUCAGGGGUCUUCAACGUAUUUCUUGCAUAUGUACGAGGUGUGUUCAAAAAGUAAGGUGACUUUGUAUUUUUGAGAAAACUAUUAAUUUAUUUAUCAAUAUUAAUGUUGUCCCCUUCAAAGUAAUCCCCCUCAGAUACAAUACACUUAUGCCAAAGGUUUUUCCAAUCCUCAAAGCACUUCCCAUAAGCACUUUUCG